AACCAGACUCCUACGGGAGGCAGCAGUGAGGGGGGGGGGUCAAUGGGCGGAAGCCUGAGGCAGCCAAGUCGUGUGGGGGAAUAAGGCCCUACGGGUCGUAAGCCUCUUUUGCCGGGGAGCAAGGGCGGGGACGUGUCCCGGCCCGGAGAGUACCCGGAGAAAAAGCAUCGGCUAACUCCGUGCCAGCAGCCGCGGUAAUACGGAGGAUGCGAGCGUUAUCCGGAUUUAUUGGGUUUAAAGGGUGCGUAGGGGGGCUUUUAAGUCAGCGGUAAAAAUUCGGGGCUCAACCCCGUCCGGCCGUUGAAACUGGGGGCCUUGAGUGGGCGAGAAGAAGGCGGAAUGCGUGGUGUAGCGGUGAAAUGCAUAGAUAUCACGCAGAACCCCGAUUGCGAAGGCAGCCUUCCGGCGCCCUACUGACGCUGAGGCACGAAAGUGCGGGGAUCGAACAGGAUUAGAUACCCUCGUA
rnacentral:rRNA from 1 species